AUGAUAAGAUGAAGUGUUGGCUAGUGAUGCACACUUAAAAUUCAAUGUUUAUUUUUAUUUUCUGUUCUCUGGGAAGUUCAACGUUAUGUUUCAGGUAAAGGAGAUGAUAAAAUGAUGAUUACAUUAAAAACAGUUGAUUUUAGAAAAUGCAGUUAAUUUAUCAUUUAAUUUGAAUUUUAGAAGCUUUCUUACUUUGAUGAAAUGUAUUGUUUUUAAUGGUACGUAAGUUAACAGUAGUAUAUUCUUUAACAGAGUGCUGAAUCCAUGAUUGGCUGUCACCACACUUAGAUGACUAGACUGCUUCAACAGUUGAUGGGGCGCUUCACAACGAUGAAAGUUAUUCGUGAAGCAACAGAUCUCGCCAAGGUACCCUUCCACGUCUGGGACAUCCAACAUGAUGUUGAGAGAUAGUUGUUGGUUGGCGUGUUAGAGAAUACCGGGACAACAAUGAUGUAUCACCAGAGAUAACAAAGAAAUUCUUCAGGUUGUUGAUUCUUUAGAAAUAAGUGAUAUGCGGGUCUUCUAUGAGAAUAUGGUAGUAACUAUGGUUCAAAGAUGCUAUCCAUUAGUCACUUAGCUUCCUGAAACCAGACCUAAGGGAUACUUUCUCACCUGAAGUAGUUGCCAUCUGUUUGUCCGGUUUGUCAGUGGUUCCCUGGUUGAUGAGUAUGAAGAUUAUCCUCUUACUCCUGAGUCUGAACUGCCCAAAUCAGAUCAUCUAGAGACAUACUGGGUAUCUAUCGGGGAAAUGAAGCUCCAUACUGGAAAGGAGAGGUGUCUUGAACUGAGUAAGAUGGCUUUACUUCUCCUGUCACUACCACACAGCAAUGCUGUUCCAGAGCUGUCCUUCAGCGUACUGAGGAAGAUACAGGCUGACAGCAGGAGCAACCUAUCUCUGGAAACCAUUCAGAACUUGUUGUCUGUGAAAAUGAACAAUCACUCUGUUCGUUCAACAUUCUCUUCAUCUCAUGAAUUUAUUAGAGAGGGAAAGUCAGCGUGUAAUGUGUUAUUUCUUGAAAUACUAAAUUGUGCUUUUAAU
rnacentral:lncRNA from 1 species